AUCUACCUGAACGUGGGGGAUAACGUAGGGAAACUUACGCUAAUACCGCAUACGUCCUACGGGAGAAAGCAGGGGACCUUCGGGCCUUGCGCGGUCAGACGAACCGAUGUUCGAUUAGCUAGUUGGUAAGGUAAUGGCUUACCAAGGCGACGAUCGAUAGCUGGUCUGAGAGGAUGAUCAGCCACACUGGGACUGAGACACGGCCCAGACUCCUACGGGAGGCAGCAGUGGGGAAUAUUGGACAAUGGGCGCAAGCCUGAUCCAGCAAUGCCGCGUGUGUGAAGAAGGCCCUCGGGUUGUAAAGCACUUUUAUCAGGAACGAAAUACCACGGGCUAAUACCCUAUGGGGCUGACGGUACCUGAGGAAUAAGCACCGGCUAACUUCGUGCCAGCAGCCGCGGUAAUACGAAGGGUGCAAGCGUUAAUCGGAAUUACUGGGCGUAAAGGGUGCGUAGGCGGUUGUUUAAGUCUGUCGUGAAAUCCCCGGGCUCAACCUGGGAAUGGCGAUGGAUACUGGACAGCUAGAGUGUGUCAGAGGAUGGUGGAAUUCCCGGUGUAGGGUGAAAUGCGUAGAGAUCGGGAGGAACAUCAGUGGCGAAGGCGGCCAUUGGGACAACACU
rnacentral:rRNA from 1 species